CCCAUUGCACAUAUUUCAACAUGUACAUGGAAGAGUACUGAUAGUCACUUGUGGAUUUUGUAGGUACAUUCACUCUUUCAAACCUUGGUAUGUUUGGUGUUGAUCGCUUUGAUGUAAUUCUGCCUCCAGGAACUGGAGCAAUCAUGGCCGUUGGAGCAUCCCAAAUAACUGCAGUUGCUACCAAGGAUGGCCGGAUUGGUGUGAAAAGUCAGAUGCAGUUUCAAAUACAGAGGUUAUUAUUAUUGCAAAGAAGAUAAAAAGGAUGAUUUCUAGCCCUAGUUUCAGUUGAAGGCAGCCCCGACGUAAUUUCUUCUUAACUGUCUAUUUUAUAGGUAAAUGACGAUAUGGUUAUUUCCACUUUUGCUAUUCAAUGUGAUAAUGCAACCAAAUGCACCCUAAGCCAGAUAAUGACAUAGUCAGAUUUCUAUGCCACUGGUACCUAUCGUUGCUUCAACUGGUGGAUUAGUUGAUACCGUCAAAGAAGGUUUCACCGGAUUCUAGAUGGGAUCCUUCAAUGUUGAUUGUGAGGCUGUCGAUCCUGUAGACGUGACUACAGUUGCCACAACCAUCAAGAGAGCCCUUUCUGUCUACGGCACGCCUGCUUUCACUGAGAUGAUUAAUAACUGCAUGGCCCAAUAUCUUUCCUGGAAGGUGAGUAAAAUUCUAAGUAACCUAUGCUUAGAUGAAUGGAACUUACAAGAAAAGAAACCAUAUGAAAAAUGGAUAUAACCUACACAUUAAACGCUGAUCUGCAAAAUGAUGCCCCAACUUAGUGUAAAUAUCCCUGGUAUUUCAGAAACAUAGUGAGGGAAACUAGUAGAAUAAGGAAGAGGUGUGUAAGAUGGAGGUGGAGAAGCUAGAAGGGAGGGAUUGCAUUGUGGCUUGAUAUUUUGGGGUGGGUUUAGAGUUCAGAAAAUGGUAAAUGCCUGUGGUGUAAGGACGGGUUCUGCUAGGAUAUAUCGUGUGAUGAAUUCCCUUUCUGUACUUUGUCUAGGGAAAUCAGGAGUACACUUGAUAUUUCACUCUCUACUCUCUGUGCUUUUUUCUUGUCUCUACUCACUAUGGCUUGCAGGCUUGUGAUUGCAAAUCCAACCUACUUCUGCUAGAAAACUCCGGGUAAUACAUGUGCCAGCAUGGGUAUGAUGAUUAUGGAAAGUUCGCCUUAAAAAAAAAUCCA